GGUUAAGUGACUAAGCGUACACGGUGGAUGCCUUGGCAGUCAGAGGCGAUGAAGGACGUAGUAACUUGCGAUAAGCGUAGAUGAGGCAGUAACAGCCACUUGAGUCUACGAUUUCCGAAUGGGGAAACCCACUGGCAUAAGCCAGUAUCAUUGAGUGAAUACAUAGCUCAAUGAAGCGAACCGGGAGAACUGAAACAUCUAAGUACCCCGAGGAAAAGAAAUCAACCGAGAUUCCGAAAGUAGCGGCGAGCGAAAUUGGAUUAGCCCUUAAGCUUUACAUGUGUUAGACGAACGGUCUGGAAAGUCCGACGAUACAGGGUGAUAGUCCCGUAGUUGACGAUGCAUGUUCAGUGAAAUCGAGUAGGGCGGGACACGUGUUAUCCUGUCUGAAUAUGGGGGGACCAUCCUCCAAGGCUAAAUACUCCUGACUGACCGAUAGUGAACCAGUACCGUGAGGGAAAGGCGAAAAGAACCCCUGUGAGGGGAGUGAAAUAGAACCUGAAACCGUGUACGUACAAGCAGUAGGAGCACCUUCGUGGUGUGACUGCGUACCUUUUGUAUAAUGGGUCAGCGACUUAUAUUCAGUGGCAAGGUUAACCAUCUAGGGGAGCCGUAGGGAAACCGAGUCUUAACUGGGCGCCAUAGUCUCUGGAUAUAGACCCGAAACCGAGUGAUCUAGCCAUGGGCAGGUUGAAGGUUGAGUAACAUCAACUGGAGGACCGAACCGACUAAUGUUGAAAAAUUAGCGGAUGACUUGUGGCUAGGGGUGAAAGGCCAAUCAAACUCGGAGAUAGCUGGUUCUCCCCGAAAGCUAUUUAGGUAGCGCCUCGGACGAAUACUACUGGGGGUAGAGCACUGUUAAGGCUAGGGGGUCAUCCCGACUUACCAACCCUUUGCAAACUCCGAAUACCAGUAAGUACUAUCCGGGAGACACACGGCGGGUGCUAACGUCCGUCGUGGAGAGGGAAACAACCCAGACCGCCAGCUAAGGUCCCAAAUUACAGCUAAGUGGGAAACGAUGUGGGAAGGCUUAGACAGCUAGGAUGUUGGCUUAGAAGCAGCCAUCAUUUAAAGAAAGCGUAAUAGCUCACUAGUCGAGUCGGCCUGCGCGGAAGAUGUAACGGGGCUAAGUUGUAAACCGAAGCUGCGGCAAUGUUCUUUGAACAUUGGGUAGGGGAGCGUUCUGUAAGCCGUUGAAGGUGUGUUGUAAAGCAUGCUGGAGGUAUCAGAAGUGCGAAUGCUGACAUGAGUAACGACAAGGGGGGUGAAAAACCUCCCCGCCGGAAGACCAAGGGUUCCUGUCCAACGUUAAUCGGGGCAGGGUAAGUCGACCCCUAAGGCGAGGCUGAAAAGCGUAGUCGAUGGGAAACGGGUUAAUAUUCCC
rnacentral:rRNA from 1 species